UACGAGGGGGGCGAGCGUUUGUUCGGAAUUAUUGGGCGUAAAGGGUGCGUAGGCGGUUCGGUAAGUUUCGUGUGAAAUCUUCGGGCUCAACUCGAAGCCUGCACGAGAUACUGCCGGGCUUGAGUGUGGGAGAGGUGAGUGGAAUUUCCGGUGUAGCGGUGAAAUGCGUAGAUAUCGGAAGGAACACCUGUGGCGAAAAGCGGCUCACUGGACCACACUGACGCUGAGGCACGAAAAGCUAGGGGGAGCAAAACAGGGAUUAGAAAACCCCGAGU
rnacentral:rRNA from 1 species